GAUGAAGAACGUAGCGAAAUGCGAUACGUAAUGUGAAUUGCAGAAUUCAGUGAAUCAUCGAAUCUUUGAACGCACAUUGCGCCCCUUGGUAUUCCGAGGGGCAUGCCUGUUCGAGCGUCAUUUCAACCCUCAAGCACAGCUUGGUCUUGGGCUUCGCCGCUAACCCGGCGGGUCUUAAAAUCAGUGGCGGUGCCGUCGGGCCCUGAGCGCAGUAAUUUCUCUCGCUAUAGGGUCCCGGCGGAUGCUGGCCAGUAACCCCCAAUUUUCUAUGGUUGACCUCGGAUCAGGUAGGGAUACCCGCUGAACUUAAGCAUAUCAAUAAGCGGAGGA
rnacentral:misc_RNA from 1 species